CCUACGGGAGGCAGCAGUGGGGAAUCUUGCGCAAUGGGCGAAAGCCUGACGCGGCCAUGCCGCGUGAAUGAUGAAGGUCUUAGGAUUGUAAAAUUCUUUCACCGGGGACGGUAAUGACGGUACCCGGAGAAGAAGCCCCGGCUAACUUCGUGCCAGCAGCCGCGGUAAUACGAAGGGGGCUAGCGUUGCUCGGAAUUACUGGGCGUAAAGGGAGCGUAGGCGGACUGUUAAGUUAGAGGUGAAAGCCCCGGAGUCAAACCUGGAAAUGACUUUGUGACAUGGAGUCAUAGCGACGGAAGGGGUAUGUUGAGAUCCGGGGGUAGAGGUGAAAUGCGUAGGUAUGCGGAAGAAGUCCAGUGGCGAAGGGGACGUAAGGGUCCGUUACUGACGCUGAGGCUCGAAAGCGUGGGGAGCAAACAGGAUUAGAUACCGCGGUAGUC
rnacentral:rRNA from 1 species